rnacentral:rRNA from 1 species
AUUGAACGCUGGCGGCAGGCCUAACACAUGCACGUCGAGCGAGCGGCGGACGGGUGAGUAAUGUCUGGGAAACUGCCUGAUGGAGGGGGAUAACUACUGGAAACGGUAGCUAAUACCGCAUACCAUCAGAUGUGCCCAGAUGGGAUUAGCUAGUAGGUGGGGUAACGGCUCACCUAGGCGACGAUCCCUAGCUGGUCUGAGAGGAUGACCAGCGAGACUGGAACUGAGACACGGUCCAGACUCCGACGGGAGGCAGCAGUGGGGAAUAGUGCACAAUGGGCGCAAGCCUGAUGCAGCCAUGCCGCGUGUGUGAAGAAGGCCUUCGGGUUGGAAAGCACUUUCAGCGGGGAGGCGUGACCCGCAGAAGAAGCACCGGCUAACUCCGUGCCAGCAGCGCGGUAAGUC